GUGGGGAAUAUUGGACAAUGGGGGGAACCCUGAUCCAGCCAUGCCGCGUGUGUGAAGAAGGCCUUUUGGUUGUAAAGCACUUUAAGCGAGGAGGAGGCUACCGAGAUUAAUACUCUUGGAUAGUGGACGUUACUCGCAGAAUAAGCACCGGCUAACUCUGUGCCAGCAGCCGCGGUAAUACAGAGGGUGCAAGCGUUAAUCGGAUUUACUGGGCGUAAAGCGCGCGUAGGUGGCCAAUUAAGUCAAAUGUGAAAUCCCCGAGCUUAACUUGGGAAUUGCAUUCGAUACUGGUUGGCUAGAGUAUGGGAGAGGAUGGUAGAAUUCCAGGUGUAGCGGUGAAAUGCGUAGAGAUCUGGAGGAAUACCGAUGGCGAAGGCAGCCAUCUGGCCUAAUACUGACACUGAGGUGCGAAAGCGUGGGGAGCAAACAGGAUUAGAUACCCCGGUAGUCC
rnacentral:rRNA from 1 species